GACGAACGCUGGCGGCGUGCCUAAUACAUGCAAGUAGAACGCUGAAGAGAGGAGCUUGCUCUUCUUGGAUGAGUUGCGAACGGGUGAGUAACGCGUAGGUAACCUGCCUUGUAGCGGGGGAUAACUAUUGGAAACGAUAGCUAAUACCGCAUAACAAUGGAUGACACAUGUCAUUUAUUUGAAAGGGGCAAUUGCUCCACUACAAGAUGGACCUGCGUUGUAUUAGCUAGUAGGUGAGGUAAUGGCUCACCUAGGCGACGAUACAUAGCCGACCUGAGAGGGUGGUCGGCCACCCUGGGACUGGGACACGGCCCAGACUCCUACGGGAGGCAGCAGUAGGGAAUCUUCGGCAAUAGGGGCAACCCUGACCGAGCAACGCCGCGUGAGUGAAGAAGGUUUUCGGAUCGUAAAGCUCUGUUGUAAGUCAAGAACGGGUGUGAGAGUGGAAAGUUCACACUGUGACGGUAGCUUACCAGAAAGGGACGGCUAACUACGUG
rnacentral:rRNA from 1 species